AUACAAACAUACAUAUGCGUACACAUAUGUAUAUGUCACCAACAAAAAAUUGAUCUUCACAAGUCAAUCCGGCAGCCAAAUUGGCGAAGGACAAAAGAGAGAUGAUUACGCUGCAUAUUCUCUUCCGCAACGAAGAGACGGAACUACUUUCUGAGUCAAAAUUCAUUCAUUUAGACUUUGCUUUAUUCUUCAUUUUAUGUGCAUAAUAAAUUUAUAAAAUGUGAAUUUAAGUGUUCUAGUUUUCUUUCAUACAAAAUGAUAUGCAUUUCUGAAUAUCACUAAGAAGUAUAACUUCAUCUGCGCGUAGGGACUCCACGACGCUUUUUUUUUACAAAGCUCGGGGCAGUAUACGGCGAAAACGUUAAUGUGGACGAUCUUUUACUGGAUCCUACAACGGUGUCGCGGAACGUGCAAAAGGCUGCAGAGAAAAAGAAAAUAGAGAUUCGAGAGGAGAUUGCUGAAGCUGUACGCAGUGGAGGAGCAUCAGCCACUAUUGAUAUGUGGACAGACAAUUACGUACGGAGAAAUUUUUUAGGCGUCACAUUCCACUACACCAGGGAUGGGCAUAUUAGCCCUCAGUGGCAUUUUGCCCGUGCGGGCACGAGCGCACAUUUUGAGGGCUAGGUGAGGGGAUCAUCGCGGGCAAACAUGAAGAGGGAAGUGAGAGCAACGUAUUUUACCACACCAUGUUUACAAAUGAGAGCGCACGCAUAUAUGGGAAGUUGCACUUUGAGUAAUAAUAGUAAAAUUGCCUAACAAUUUUAAGUUUCUUUGUAACUACUAUAAAUUUAUAAAAUGUAAGACAAAUAACAAAAAGUAUAAUAAAUAUUUGAUUUUAGUAAUCACUUUUUUAAUAUAUCUUUAUAUCAGCAUUUAAUUUUGUUUAUUUGAAAUAAUAAAUUAUAUGUUUGGUUUAAUCUCACUUGCUAUAGCUCCACGCAUUAUUGUACCAAGUACCAAAAUUUAAAUCCGAUAACCUACUUCUUAUUUUAUAUAUAAUUUUCGAAGCAAAUUGUUUCAAACCAGUUUAUUUCUUUAAACUUCCUUAUAAAAAGUAAGUUCAAUAAUAACUUCAGUUUAUGAACCACUUUUUCUUCAAACACAUAUGACCAAAUGAAUCUUAUGAGAGCGCAAUGUAAAUACAGGUAUCCCUCGAAUAGCACGGUACUUGAGUUGCACGAAAUCUCGAAUAGCACGGUUAAAAAUUGCGACAACCCUCGAAUAACACGGGGUUCGAAUUACACGAAGCCGCGAAAAUUCCUUUUAAAAAUUGAAAUUUAAGGAUCCUCUACCUCUUCAAGGAAAAACAAAUCAAUCUUUGGAGAGUGACAGUGGUUGAACAUACGUAAUUUAAAAAUUAUUGCGUUUAUAAAUUUUUACCUUUUAAAUUUCAAAUAACACGAUUUCGAAUAACACGUAACCAAUUAACCGUGUUAUUCGAGGGAAACCUGUAAUUACCCAACAACCCUUCUACCACCCGCCAAUCCUAGAAUUUCCAACGACUCAGCUGAUUGCUCUCUCACUCCGCAGGGUUGCCAGGCUCGAUAUAAUGUAGUAAUUAUAAAAAUUGUCUUCAAUAUAUUUGAAAUUUUCUUAAAAUAACUCAAAUUCAGAAUGUAAUGCUAUUAUUUACAAAUAUAUAAACUAGUUUUAAUAGUUUGAUUUCAGUUUUUAUAUUUAUUAUUAUAAAAAUUAUAAUUGAAAACUUAUAUGUGUACAAAACUUCAUAUGCGUAUUGGGUAAUGACAACAUUGUUCGAAUGAAAACGAGAACAAAACGCUUGCCGCUUGUGGCGAAGUGAGAAGAUGUUUCCGCCAUUAGCGUUUGUAUUCUAUUUGUGUGCUUAUAGAGGCCAUACACGGGCACACAUGUGCGUUCGAUUGCUAUGUGUGAACAUGCGGUUUACUCGUGUAUGGGCUUGUUCGCGUACCGAUCCAUGUUCGCGAAAAUGUUUGAUUUUUACGAUCGGUGCGCGAACAUGUUUAUCGUGUAUGGCGUUGUGAGCGCACAAAAUCUCAUUUCUCUCGUGUCGCCGAGCAGUGAAGAUCGCGGACAAUUGCAAAUGUUAAGGAGAGAGACUGCUUUAGAGGCUUCAAAAACUCGAUUUUUUUUAGGAUUUUUUUGGGAGGGAAAGAAAUAAUUGAUUCAAGCGAAAUCUAUAACUUUGUUUUUGUUAGAUAAUUUUUAAAGAGAUUUAAGCGAUUGUUUGAAGCUUCUAAAGCAGACUCUCCCCUUAAUAAAGAUUUCGUAUCUGAAUUUAUUGAUCUUAUAAAAAAUUUCUUGGCAAUUUAGCGAACGAAAAGUGAUAAAUAUAAAAAUAAAAUUGAGAAAAAUAAAAGUUGGAAUAACUUAUUAACGAAAUACAAAGAAAUAGAUAAAAGUGCUACAACAGAAAUAAAUUCGAAGAAAUGUUCCGCUUGCCUGUCGCACAUGUUAACUGUGUGAAGAACGAACGCAAAAUGGAUUUGUGUGUCGUGUAUGGGCAAACGAAUUCACACAGAUCGAACGCACAUGUGUGCCCGUGUAUGGCCUCUAUUACCCUGCAAGACGGAGGUAACAGAUUGCACAAACACAUUGAAAUAUUUUCAGCUGUUCACUAACACUGUUACAUUUUGUGCGAUUUUCAAUUGCAUGGGAGAAUACGUAAGUAAGAUAGAGAACAACUAACGACAUUCUAAACAUAUUGUAAUGUUAACUAGCUAGAAUAGGAGAGACGAAUACUCAAUUUUUCAAGAAGAAGAAAACGAAAAGCGCAGUUUCAAGAAUGAUAAAAACAAAGAUUGCGCAGUGACGAGUUCAAAUUUUGUUCGUUGUUCGUUGUAUUGCAGGCAUACAAAAUCAUGAAUAUCAUCAAAAGUUAACAUCAAUAUAAGUGAAUAUUAAUAAAAGAUAUCAAUAUAAGUGAAUAUUUUAUAGUGAACAUUUACCUACAUAUUCAUUUAACUGAAUUUUCAUUGUAUUAUUUAAUUUUGUCUCGUUGCUGUGUUUGUUUCAACCAUUUAUAUAUAACCCAAAAGCUGGAUGCCAUUAAGAGCCGUCUCACUGCAAUUUAAAAGUCCCUAACAAACAAAAUGCCAGAAAAGGCCGAGAUGCAGGCGCAUGCCGCGUCAUAGCGGCAAAGACAAACAUUUCAAUUAGCCGCAUCACCGGUGACUUGGAGGAUGAGCAUUACGUGGAGCUCGAGUCGAAAUUGCCUAUGUCAUCGGAAGAGAACGGGUGCUUCGGGGACAAACAGUCACAAAUGAAAAUGGAUAUUAGUUUUAAGUUGUAAAUAUUAGUUUUAAGUUUGACAUAUUAGUUUUAAGUUGUAAAUAUUAGUUCUAAGUUGUAUAUAUUAGUUCUAAGUUGAAGUCUCUAAAUUUAGUUUUACAAAUAUGCUUUUUUAACUAAUAACUUUUAUACUGAAGUAAACUUAAUCUUAUGUUUAAGUAAAUAUGAUUUUAUUAUUAAAUAAAGCGAAAUAAUAAAAAAAACUGAGUUUUAUUUAAAAGAAUUGAAUUUGCUAGAAGAAACAAAUGGGUAACAGAUAAUCUUGUUACUGCUUGUUCUUCCUAACAUGCUUAUAUGUUAAAGGUAACAAACUGAUAACCAAAAUAAUAACACUAACAGAUAUUCGGGUAACAAAUACUUUUUGUUAUCCAUAACACAUAGGUAAGCUAUGCGCUAACAAAAUAAUUUGUUACCCGUAACAUACUGUGAAGAGAUUUGCUAACAAAUGUGUGUAUUCUGUUAGAACAAGGCAGCAUGCGAUAUUUGCCAUUGGUUAGAGCGAGAUAACCAUUGAACAUCAAAUAGCUAUGUGUUACUUUUUUCCCACUCUCUGAACAAAAGUAACAAAUAUUGGAACGAAGUUCCUUACGGCAGGCUUGCAGAAGGGAGAUUUUGCUGCGGGAGCUAACUGAAAAAUAAAUAAAAACCGUAAGAAAUAACCCGUAAGAAAUAACCCGUAAGAAAUAUCCGUAAGAAAUAACCCGUAAGAAAUAACCUGUAAAUAAAUAAAAACCGUAAGAAAUAACCCGUAAGAAAUAACCCGUAAGAAAUAUCCGUAAGAAAUAACCCGUAAGAAAUAACCUGUAAGAUCGCUAGUUAUAGCCU